rnacentral:rRNA from 1 species
GGCAAGAUUUGUAGCAAUACGGAUCCUAGAGUAGCGUAAGGGUGCGUAACACGUAUGCAAUCUGCCCGUAACAGGAGGAUAGCUCUUCGAAAGAGGAAUUAACACUCCAUAAGAUCACGAGAGGGCAUCUGAUUGUGAUUAAACUACAAGGGGUUGCGGAUGAGCAUGCGUCUGAUUAGUUAGUUGGCGGGGUAACGGCCCACCAAGACGAUGAUCAGUAGGGGAACUGAGAGGUUGGUCCCCCACACUGGCACUGAGAUACGGGCCAGACUCCUACGGGAGGCAGCAGUAGGGAAUAUUGGACAAUGGGUGAGAGCCUGAUCCAGCCAUGCCGCGUGCAGGAAGAAAGCCUUCUGGGUUGUAAACUGCUUUUUUCAGGGGAUAAAAUACUCGUGCGCGAGGAAUUGCAAGUACCUGGAGAAUAAGCCACGGCUAACUACGUGCCAGCAGCCGCGGUAAUACGUAGGUGGCAAGCGUUGUCCGGAUUUAUUGGGUUUAAAGGGUGCGUAGGUGGUCAAUUAAGUCAGUGGUGAAAUACGGCAGCUUAACUGUCGAGGUGCCAUUGAUACUGGUUGACUUGAGUACUGAUGAGGUAGGCGGAAUGGACGGUGUAGCGGUGAAAUGCUUAGAGAUCGUCCAGAACACCGAUAGCGAAGGCAGCUUACUAAGGAGUAACUGACACUGAGGCACGAAAGUGUGGGGAUCAAACAGGAUUAGAUACCCUGGUAGUCCACACUGUAAACGAUGAUUACUCGAUGUUGGCGAUACACAGCCAGCGUCUUAGCAAAAGCGAUAAGUAAUCCACCUGGGGAGUACGCCGGCAACGGUGAAACUCAAAGGAWUUGACGGGGGUCCGCACAAGCGGKGGAGCAUGUGGUUUAAUUCGAUGAUACGCGAGGAACCUUACCUGGGCUAGAAUGCCCUUGACAGAUUCAGAGAUGGAUUUUUCGCAAGAACAA